rnacentral:lncRNA from 1 species
AUGAUAUUUUUUCAAUUUAUUUGUAACAACUCAAAAGCGUUGUGGUAUAAGAAACGAGAACAGAUUUUUAUUUGUUAUUUUUGUCAACAUGCAUUAACUGUUCUGGUAUAAUUUUUAAUUAUCUUUAAUAAAAGCACGAGUAACAACUUUGUUAAAUAUCGUUCUUAAAAGUUGUAACAAAAAAAACUUAAUAUAACAAAAAUUACCGUUCUAAAAUACAAAUACCCAGCCCUUUGGAAAAACAAAACAAUUUGCUCUUAAAAAAAAAAUCUUGUAAAAAAAAAAGAAAAACUGCAUUAUUUAAUAAAACUAAUAACAAGAAUAAAAAGAUAAAUUAUAAAAAACAAUAUCCAAAGAAGAAACGCAUAAGCUGAUCGAUCGAACUUGAGAACCCAACUUCAAAACCCAUUCGAACCUCAACAUUCUCAAACCCUCAACCAACUCGAACCUCAGAAGCCAUUCGAAAAUCUCAAGAGCUUCAACCACGCUGAACCCAUCCGAAAAUCUGGUGCUUAGGUUUUCUUCCCAAUCUCACCACCUAAAAUUUGCAGUUUUUAUUCCAUACAUCAAUUCCACCUCUCUUCUAAUUAGGGCAUUUGUUGUUGGUUCAGAGAAAGUACUCUUCAAGAAGGAAAAUGAAGACAGGUAAUGGCUUUCUGUUUGAUAUACAAGUUAAGUCCAGCAAUGAAUUAUUGCGGAAGAUGAAUCAAAUCAAAGUUGAAAAUGCAAAAUCUUCAAAAGAAAAUAGUCAUGUAAACAUUAUUGGUGGAAACAUUCAAAAUUUAGACCAUCAUAAGCAGCCAUUGGCAAUUAGAAAUGUGAUUCAAACACAGCGCAACAAGCAAGACCAACUGAAGCGGUCAUUGGAUAAUAUAGUUCCAGCCCAACAAAUGAAACCUAUUGAGUCAGACAAAGGGUUUGUUCACAGAGGUAUUAAUAGGCAAUUGGAAGUAGAAGCAUCUAAGAAAAUUGUUGAGCCGAUGAAAGGGUUUUGU